UACGUAGGUGGCAAGCGUUGUCCGGAUUUAUUGGGUUUAAAGGGUGCGUAGGCGGCCCUGUAAGUCAGUGCUGAAAUAUCCCGGCUUAACCGGGAGGGUGGCAUUGAUACUGCAGGGCUUGAGUACAGAUGAAGUAGGCGGAAUUGACGGUGCAGCGGUGAAAUGCAUAGAUAUCGUCAAGAACACCGAUAGCGAAGGCAGCUUACUAAGCUGUAACUGACGCUGAGGCACGAAAGUGUGGGGAUCAAACAGG
rnacentral:rRNA from 1 species